AAUCAACGCUGGCGGCGCGCUUAACACAUGCAAGUCGAACGAGAAAGGGAGCAAUCCUGAGUAAAGUGGCGCACUGGUGAGUAACACGUGGAUAUCUACCUCUUGGUGGGGAAUAACCUGGGGAAACCUGGGCUAAUACCGCAUAAGUUCGUGAGAAGAAAGGCGCAAGCCGCCGAGAGAGGAGUCCGCGGUCGAUUAGAUAGUUGGCAGGGUAAAGGCCUACCAAGUCUAAGAUCGAUAGCCGGCCUGAGAGGGCACACGGCCACACUGGCACUGAAACACGGGCCAGACUCCUACGGGAGGCAGCAGUGGGGAAUCUUGCACAAUGGGGAAAACCCUGAUGCAGCGACGCCGCGUGAGCGAUGAAGCCCUUCGGGGUGUAAAGCUCUUUCGGCAGGAACGAUAAUGACGGUACCUGCAGAAGAAGCUGCGGCUAACUACGUGCCAGCAGCCGCGGUAAUACGUAGGCAGCAAGCGUUGUUCGGAAUUACUGGGCGUAAAGAGUGUGUAGGUGGUGUCGUAAGUUUGGUGUGAAAUCUCCCGGCUUAACUGGGAGGGUGCGCCGAAGACUGCGAUGCUUGAGUAUGGGAGAGG
rnacentral:rRNA from 1 species